AACGAACGCUGGCGGCAUGCCUAACACAUGCAAGUCGAACGAGACCUUCGGGUCUAGUGGCGCACGGGUGCGUAACGCGUGGGAACCUGCCCUUAGGUUCGGAAUAACUCCCCGAAAGGGGUGCUAAUACCGGAUAAUGUCUUCGGACCAAAGAUUUAUCGCCUUUGGAUGGGCCCGCGUUGGAUUAGCUAGUUGGUAGGGUAAAAGCCUACCAAGGCGACGAUCCAGAGCUGGUCUGAGAGGAUGACCGGCCAGACUGGGACUGAGACACGGCCCAGACUCCUACGGGAGGAAGCAGGGGGGAGUAUUGAAAAAUGGGCGGAAGCCUGAUGCAGCAACGCAGCGUGCGGGAUGAAGGCCGUCGGGUUGUAAACCACUUUCGCCUGUGACGAAGGGUGAGUGACGGUAAUGGGUAAAGAAGCACCGGCUAACUACGUG
rnacentral:rRNA from 1 species